GAUGAACGCUGGCGGCGUGCCUAAUACAUGCAAGUCGAGCGAACAGACGAGGAACUUGUUCCUCUUACGUUAGCGGCGGACGGGUGAGUAACACGCGGAUAACCUACCUUUAAGACUGGGAUAACUUCGGGAAACGGGUGCUAAUACCGGAUAAUAUAUUUAACCGCAUGGUUCAAUAUUGAAAGACGGUUUUGCUUUACCUAAUAGAUAGAUCCGGUGCGCUUUAGUAGUUUGGUAAGGUAACGGCUUACCAAGGGGACGAUGCGUAGCCGACCUGAGAGGGUGAUCGGCCACACUGGAACUGAGACACGGUCCAGACUCCUACGGGAGGCAGCAGUAGGGAAUCUUCCGCAAUGGGCGAAAGCCUGACGGAGCAACGCCGCGUGAGUGAUGAAGGUCUUCGGAUCGUAAAACUCUGUUAUUAGGGAAGAACAAAUGUGUAAGUAACUAUGCACGUCUUGACGGUACCUAAUCAGAAAGCCACGGCUAACUACGUG
rnacentral:rRNA from 1 species